GGAAGCCCGGAUCCAGCUGCCCUACUCCUGGUAAGGGGUAAAUUAAGGGGCAGGCCAGGUGCUUGGAAGUUGGGUGAAGAUACCAAGUGUUGACAUGGGACUCAGAUGGAGACAGAGAGAAAGAGCCCGCAGUCCAUUGGGCGAGGCCUUGGCCAAGAUCUGACUUCACAAUGGGCUGUGGAAUGUUUUGCUGCCCAGGAAACCGGGUGAGUUGUUUGAAAAGAUCCUGAGAUCAGUUAAAAGCUCAUUCAGCUGCCUCCCUUCAGAUCAGUUGACACCAGAGAUGUCUUGCUGCUUUAGAGAACUGUCUUUUUUGGAUCAGUUGGCAUUGGAAAACAUGUCUCCUUCGGACAACUAUCUUUGGCUUGGUUGAAAGCCCAGAGAAUGGUCUUCUGCCUCCCCUGCUGCCACAGAAGGCAAGAUCAGUUGACACCAGAGAUGUCUUGCUGCUUUAGAGAAUUGUCUUUUUUUGGAUCAGUUGGCAUCGGAAACAUGUCUCCUUCGGACAACUAUCUUUGGCUUGGUUGAAAGCCCAGAGAAUGGUCUUCUGCCUCCCCUGCUGCCAAAGAAGGUAAGCUGUUUAUGAUGGAGGCCUCUCACCUGUGAUUCCUGCACAUCCCAAAUGUCCUCUUCUACCACUUUCCUAACCUUGGAGAGUUGCUGAAGAUCCCAAAUAAGGCUACCUCUUUUGCUCAGCUGGAGACCCUCCAGAUAGUUGUGAAGUCCAUUGCCUCCUCGUGGUUGGCUCAGGAUCAGAGGGAGAGGGUCCCUCUCCCCAUCUCAUAGACCUUGCUCAGGAGGACAAUUGGAGGGCAGCAGCAGAAGAGCCCUGCAGCAACUGGAUCAGGCCCAAGGAACCCUGCUAGAGUGGCAGCCUGUUCUCAAAGGGGCCUACAAGCAGCAUGGCGAGAGGCCAAUGAUAAAAAGGGGAACCAUAAAACCAUGUUUCCUCGUUCAGAGAUGGGAAACGGCACAGGACAGUCCUGGUGUGUUGACUCUUCCUCCAUCUUGCCCCUCUUCAGAUCCACAAGUGCUCUACCACGUCAUUGGCACUUCAGAAGUGGCACCUCAGGUAUAUAAGCUGGUGGCGUCCAGCCCUUCUGAAAGGAGGCAGGAGCUUAAACCACAAAUGGAUCAGAUUUGGAGCCAGACUAUUCUAUGUGUGGCUGUGGCGCAUUCAUCCUCCACUUCCAUGCUUUUUCAGUCACAGAUGUUUCUUGCUAUUCAGCUGCUUGCUGUCCAGCUGCGGGCGAUCCAAAUACUUUAGCCAAGUUUAAUUUCAAGAUGUUACUCACGAAGGUCCAAUUGUUGCAAUCUCGGCUAGGAAGAAUCCACCGCUCUGUUUACGGCCUGCUCGGAGCUGCACACGGGAAAGGUAGCAGUCAGAUUGGGAUGGUUUUGAAGCUCCCACCACAGUCCUCUACCAAGAGAAGCGGACAGCAGCCAUCCCAUAAGAAGGGAGCAGCCCGCCUCCCCAAGAUAUACUCCCAGUGUAUGUUUCUUUAAAACAUAUUAGCAUGUUUUCUUUUUAUUAAUUUUUUUGCUUUUAAAUUACUUUAUUGAACUUAAAAAAAUAAUAAUAACACAAAAUCAAAAUUAUCCAUAACAAACUUAAAAGAAUUGUCAAUAUCUAUUACACUUUAUUACAGUCGUCUUCUAGUUCCAUUGACUUCCCGCCAACUCCAUUUAGCUUUAAACGUAUAUUUAUCUAGCACACUGUUUGUGUCUGUUUAAACUAAUUGCUUAGCCAAGUUAUUGUACUUUCUUAAACCUGUUUGGUGUAUAACAGUAGCUGUUCAAAGGCUGCCACAGAUUUUAUGUUGUUGCAAUCUUUUAUGUAAAUGUUAAAUAAAUCCCAUUUAUUGAAAAAUUAUUAAUGCUUUCAUUUAUUUUCUAAAUUACAAUAGCAGCAAUGAAACAACAAAUUGUCCAACAACAAACAACUAAAAUUUGUCCUGCUAUUUGUACAGACUUCUAUCAUUAUAAUAAA